UCCAGGAAGGCAGCAGGCACGCAAAUUACCCACUCCAGUACGGGGAGGUAGUGCGAAAAUAACAAUGCGGGACUCUACGAGGCUCGUAAUCGGAACAGUCCCUUUAAAUCCUCAACGAGGACCUAUUGGAGGGCAAGUCCGGUGCCAGCAGCCGCGGUAAUUCCAGCUCCAAUAGCGUAUACUAAAGUUGUUGCGGUUAAAAAGCUCGUAGUUGGAUGUCAGUUGCGGGCGAGUGGUCCACCGUUUUGGUGGUUUACUGCUCGUCCCGCGACCUACUGGCCGGCCUCCCCCGCUAUGCUCUUUACCGGGUGUGGCGGGUGGCCGGAAAGUUUACUUUGAAAAAAUUAGAGUGCUCUAAGCAGGUGCUUGCCGCCUGAAUAACACAGCAUGGAAUAAUGGAAUAGGACCUCGGUUCUAUUUUGUUGGUUUUCGGAAUUCCGAGGUAAUGAUUAAUAGGGACAGACGGGGGCAUUCGUAUUGCGGCGCUAGAGGUGAAAUUCUUGGACCGUCGCAAGACGAACUAGUGCGAAAGCAUUUGCCAAGAAUGUUUUCAUUAAUCAAGAACGAAAGUUAGAGGUUCGAAGGCGAUCAGAUACCGCCCUAGUUCUAACCAUAAACGAUGCCAACCAGCGAUCCGCCGGAGUUCCUYUAUGACCCGGCGGGCAGCUUCCGGGAAACCAAAGUSUUUGGGUUCCKGGGGAAGUAUGGUUGCAAARCUGAAACUUAAAGGAAUUGACGGAAGGGCACCACCAGGAGUGGAGCCUGCGGCUUAAUUUGACUCAACACGGGRAAWCUCACCCGGCCCGGACACCGAAAGGAUUGACAGAUUGAUUGGCUCUUUCUCGAUACGGUGGGUGGUGGUGCAUGGCCGUUCUUAGUUGGUGGAGCGAUUUGUCUGGUUAAUUCCGAUAACGAACGAGACUCUAACGCGGUCUAACUAGACGCUCGCGUCGUAUACGUGCGACGCGGGUAAAAUCGAAGUUUUCUUCUUAGAGGGACCGGCGGCGAUAAGCCGCACGAGAUUGAGCGAUAACAGGUCAGUGAUGCCCUUAGAUGUCCGGGGCCGCACGCGCGCUACACUGAAGGAAUCAACGAGUGCUAUCGCACGCAUAAUCGGCCGCGGCCGAAAGGUCGCGGUAAUCCGUUGAAACUCCUUCGUGACUGGGACCGGGCUUUGCAAUUCUUGCCCACGAACGAGGAAUUCCCAGUAAGCGCGAGUCAUCAGCUCGCGUUGAAUACGUCCCUGCCCUUUGUACACACCGCCCGUCGCUAAAAAUGAUCGAGCGAUCGAGUGAGGUCUUCGGACCGUGCGGAGCUCUCGAAGCUCACGCCGGAAAGAAGAACGAAUUGACCGCUUAGA
rnacentral:rRNA from 1 species